GUCUACGUUAUCAAAGCUACAGCAAAACAUUUCUGACUCCAGUUUUGUCCAGCCACCGGCAUUCUGCAUAUUAAGUGAGUGGUUAGAGUCAAGAGACAACCAAGUGAUGGUAUGUGAAUUGUAUGAUGCUCUACUUGUUGCUCGCAUUCCAUCUGAACCUCAAAAGCAUUUGAGUUACUUGAUGUUGCCUGAUGCAGCAUCUGAAAAGACUCCACCUGGUGACUCUGACAGGGUCACUCCACUCAUCAAAGAAAUAGUAGCUGAAAACGUUGGACAUUGUUGGCAUGAACUAGGUAUACACCUUGGUGUUUCAGAAGGAGUGCUAAGGGAAUGCGACCAACCAAUUUACACGUUGAAAGCGAAAUCACGUAAAGUUUUGUCAGCCUGGACAGAUCAAAACCAACAUGCUACAGUUCAGCAGUUGUUGGUCGCUUGUGAUAAAGCUGGAGUGGGAGGAAAAGUCAGGAGAGAGAUUUAAUCUAAGCUUGGCACAAACUGAUUGGAACACGAGUCAUACAGAGUGAUAAUCCUAUACAUAACAAUAAUUGUUGUUUGCUCUGAAACAAAGAAGUAAUUAUCUAUAUGUGGACGGGAAAAGGAAAUAAGAGAAACAAGACAACACACUGUGCUUGCUGCGAACCAACAGCCUUAUCGUUGUGUGCAGCUACAAUAUAUGUAGAAGACUAUCAUCCAGAAGAAAAUAUCAUCAGAAAGAUGACACGACUGAUUGAAAUUACACACAAAGCAAUGAUGUAACUGCCUUAGAACAAGGUUCACUUCAACGUGAUCAUCUCUGAUAUUUCAUCAUCGACUGGAUGUGGCAGGAUGUCAAGCAGCCACCAAUACGUUCAUUUAUGUCGACUUGUACAGUAUGAUAUCACACCACGAGUGAAGGACAGACACACAAACCUCAGCCUCUUCUUACAAGAUGAACACUCAUUAUAAUGGAAGUCAUUGUACAAAUAGUGUAUAUAGAAGAUACAGUAAAGACAAAAG